rnacentral:rRNA from 1 species
GUGGGGAAUAUUGGACAAUGGGGGGAACCCUGAUCCAGCCAUGCCGCGUGUGUGAAGAAGGCCUUUUGGUUGUAAAGCACUUUAAGCGAGGAGGAGGCUACCGAGAUUAAUACUCUUGGAUAGUGGACGUUACUCGCAGAAUAAGCACCGGCUAACUCUGUGCCAGCAGCCGCGGUAAUACAGAGGGUGCAAGCGUUAAUCGGAUUUACUGGGCGUAAAGCGCGCGUAGGUGGCCAAUUAAGUCAAAUGUGAAAUCCCCGAGAUUAACGUGGGAAUUGCAUUCGAUACUGGUUGGCUAGAGUAUGGGAGAGGGUGGUAGAAUUCCAGGUGUAGCGGUGAAAUGCGUAGAGGUCUGGAGGAAUACCGAUGGCGAAGGCAGCCAUCUGGCCUAAUACUGACACUGAGGUGCGAAAGCAUGGGGAGCAAACAGGAUUAGAUACCCCUGUAGUCC